rnacentral:tRNA from 1 species
GGGCAAUUAGCUCAGUUGGAUAGAGCGCUAGCCUCCGGAGCUAGAGGCCGCAGGUUCGACUCCUGCAUUGCCCGCCA